ACCCAUUGUCUUGACUCAGAUUGUUCUACUGAAAUCCAGAGCAGGGUUGGGUUACUCGACGCUUGUUCAGACUUGAGCGCUGAGUGAAAUGAACUGUUUUAUCUGUGGGACUUGCAGCACUACAAACUUUAAUGUUACAAUGUGCAGGCACUAUUACAAAAAAGACCAGAAUUAAGAUAAAAGAUGAUCGUAUGUUUGGGAUACAAGAGCAUCUUUAGUAAUCAAGGUUUGAGCAGUCUUAAUAAAUAUUCUAUAUGCAUCAUUUGAAUGUCUUUCCCUGUAUUGUGCAGUGACCCUGCAUUCUUUAUAAACUGAAAAAUUACUAAAUACCAUGGAUAAACCAAACACUUGCACACAAAGGCAUAGGUGCUUAGAUCAUUUAGAUUUGCGGCAACAUUAAAAACUUGUUCAAUUGUGUUUUAAGUCAUUUGCCCACAUCAGGUUUUAGGCUGGAUCCAAUCGUAGAGCACCGGGUGUGGUUGCACUUUAUGUUGGUGAGGGGAGUGGUUUGCUUCAAAUCGCAUGUUCCUAUUGGUCUGAGCAAAGAAGUAAAGCAGCACUACCUGAGGCAGGUAGGCAAAUAAAGAGAGAGGACCAAACUGUUGCUCAUCUACCCUUCUUUAUGUCCUACAGAUUUACCUUAAUGAGGGUCUGUUGCUUUUUUGGGAAGUGGUUUUGGGAGUAGGUCUGAUAUGUGUCAAAUUUCCUGCUUCAAAACUGGAUCUAAUCUAAAAAGGGUCCCUUGAGUUGCAGUGUGAUGAAGUACAUUUAAAAAAGGACUGUUGUUUCAAUUCUGCAGUUUUCUAUGGAUUCUAUCCUUCAUUCCACCGGAGUCUGUGUCUGUAAGCAAUCAGAUUUCAGUGGUGUGAAGUGUAGAAGACAUGGAGUCAUCACACCAACUUUCCUGCAUGCAGAAAAAUAAAAUGACAAGAGAGACUGGACAACAGAGCAGAAUGAGGGUGUUAAAGAGAACCACCAAGGCCACAUGUCUUUAUAAUCAAUGAGCCAUACCUCUAAGCUGAGUGACUUCAAUUUUGGUAUUACGAUCAGUUUUGUAUCCUUAGAUCAGUAUUCACAGCUUUUUCUCUGUAGUAUUUGUUUGUGUGUGGGCGUGUAUAUUUAGUUUCAGUUGCUGCUUGGAGCACUUGUAGUAUGCUAAACAGUGUAAAUGUAUUCCUCCCCUGACCUUGUGCCCUCCAUCUUUGUGCAGAGAGGUUUUAAGUCCAUAACUUCCCCACUUUUAACCUCCCCGUAAAGCAAUUUGCCUUGCAUGUGCCCUUUAACACACGGCAUCAAUAUCAGACACUAUGCUGCUUUUUUCUCUUCGUGGGCCAAAAAGCCCACAUGUGGCACACACAAACACACACACACACACACACACACACACACACACACAUACACACACACAAACACACACAGACACACACACACACUUACUUCCAAGAUGAGCUUGGAUGAUGACCUCUCAUGCAAAUAAACUCAGUAUAGACUCUGUUACAUGUUCCUGUCUGGUCUGUUUAUUGUGUUUAAUCCUUGCAAUAAAAUACAGUUGCUAAAUGCAUAACUCAA